AAAAAAUGAGUAAUUGUUUGUAAAUUUGAAGCUUGCUAGGGAUUGUUGUGUGUCAAUUUUAUAGAAUAAGUCAUCACAAGCAAUUGUUUGUAGAUUUGAAGCUUGUUAGGGAUUGUUGUGUGUCAAUUUUAUAGAAUAAGUCAUCACAAGGUAUGAACCUUAAUGUUCCCAGGCCCAAAUCUGGUUUAAUCCCACCAAGGAAUUAGAAGAUGAAACAACUUUUCGAUUAGAUAGUCCUUCAAUUAAUAAAUCCAACUUGUCUUUCCCUUAAUUCUUGGGACCUUAAUAUUUUAACAUUUACGGAUAAUUAUUGGAUAUAAU